rnacentral:lncRNA from 1 species
UUUGGAUAUGUCUGCAUGCACAUGCCUGUACUAUACGUAAAACAUUUGCAUGUGGCUGAACAUCUACACAUGCUCAUAUAUACCUGUUUUGAUUAGCGGAUAAUGAGUUAGACUUGUUUUUUUUUUUUGUAAAAGUCACGACUUUGGUCUUAGGUACAAUAUUAUUUUUGUCGUCAUAUAUAUUUUGCUUUCAAUACGCCUCAUAAGUAAGGGAAUCUACUAUCUUUAUUCUUU